rnacentral:rRNA from 1 species
ACAGGAUUAGAUACCCUGGUAGUCCACGCCGUAAACGAUGUCGACUUGGAGGCUGUUUCCUUGAGAAGUGGCUUCCGGAGCUAACGCGUUAAGUCGACCGCCUGGGGAGUACGGCCGCAAGGUUAAAACUCAAAUGAAUUGACGGGGGCCCGCACAAGCGGUGGAGCAUGUGGUUUAAUUCGAUGCAACGCGAAGAACCUUACCUACUCUUGACAUCCAGAGAACUUUCCAGAGAUGGAUUGGUGCCUUCGGGAACUCUGAGACAGGUGCUGCAUGGCUGUCGUCAGCUCGUGUUGUGAAAUGUUGGGUUAAGUCCCGCAACGAGCGCAACCCUUAUCCUUUGUUGCCAGCGAUUCGGUCGGGAACUCAAAGGAGACUGCCGGUGAUAAACCGGAGGAAGGUGGGGAUGACGUCAAGUCAUCAUGGCCCUUACGAGUAGGGCUACACACGUGCUACAAUGGCGCAUACAAAGAGAAGCGACCUCGCGAGAGCAAGCGGACCUCAUAAAGUGCGUCGUAGUCCGGAUCGGAGUCUGCAACUCGACUCCGUGAAGUCGGAAUCGCUAGUAAUCGUGGAUCAGAAUGCCACGGUGAAUACGUUCCCGGGCCUUGUACACACCGCCCGUCACACCAUGGGAGUGGGUUGCAAAAGAAGUAGGUAGCUUAACCUUCGGGAGGGCGCUUACCACUUUGUGAUUCAUGACUGGGGUGAAGUCGUAACAAGGUACC